UGCAAGUCGAACGGUAGCGCGGGGAAACCUGGCGACGAGUGGCGAACGGGUGAGUAAAGCAUCGGAACGUGCCCUGGAAUGGGGGAUAACGUAGCGAAAGUUACGCUAAUACCGCAUAUACUGUGAGCAGGAAAGCAGGGGAUCGCAAGACCUUGCGUUCGAGGAGCGGCCGAUGUCGGAUUAGCUAGUUGGUGGGGUAAAGGCUCACCAAGGCGACGAUCCGUAGCGGGUCUGAGAGGAUGAUCCGCCACACUGGGACUGAGACACGGCCCAGACUCCUACGGGAGGCAGCAGUGGGGAAUUUUGGACAAUGGGCGGAAGCCUGAUCCAGCCAUGCCGCGUGAGUGAAGAAGGCCUUCGGGUUGUAAAGCUCUUUCGGUGGGGAAGAAAUUGCACGGGAGAAUACCCUGUGUAGAUGACGGUACCCGGAGAAGAAGCACCGGCUAACUACGUGCCAGCAGCCGCGGUAAUACGUAGGGUGCGAGCGUUAAUCGGAAUUACUGGGCGUAAAGCGUGCGCAGGCGGUUGGGUAAGUCAGAUGUGAAAUCCCCGGGCUCAACCUGGGAACUGCAUUUGAGACUGCCCGGCUGGAGUUUGGCAGAGGGGGGUGGAAUUCCACGUGUAGCAGUGAAAUGCGUAGAGAUGUGGAGGAACACCGAUGGCGAAGGCAGCCCCCUGGGCCAAUACUGACGCUCAUGCACGA
rnacentral:rRNA from 1 species